rnacentral:sRNA from 1 species
CUAAGGCAUAGACCGGCCAGUCGAAAGGUAAGAACCCUACUUACUUUGCCUUAGUUAUUAAUAGGG